AUGGACUGUAUAUCUCGAAACAAGACACUGGAACUCAUGAUAAGGAAGCGGCAGACGGACAGAGAAACAAAUCUAAGGAGGUAUUGGGGAGGUAUUGGGGAGGCGAGGACAAUCCCCAGACAUGGACUGUAUAUCUCGAAACAAGACACUGGAACUCAUGAUAAGGAAGCGGCAGACGGACAGAGAAACAAAUCUAAGGACUGUAUAUCUCGAAACAAGACACUGGAACUCAUGAUAAGGAAGCGGCAGAUGGACAGAGGAACAAAUGUAAGGACUAUAAAUCUCGAAACUGGACAUUGGAAUUCAUUAUAAAGAUACAACAAACAGGAGAAUUAGCAACAACCAGCUCUUGCAAUUAAGAAACAUGCCAACUCAGCAGAUUCCUGACCAAAGGUGAAAAGUACACUGUAAGGAAGACUCAGGGUCUUCCUCCCAAAGACCCCUGCCCAUGUCCCAAACACCCUGCCUACAAUUCUUGGGAGGCUCUACGCAGGUGCAAGGUGCUAAAAGGCUAAUUAGCAUGAGAAGCGAGGGAAGGCGGGGAUAGGUAAUGAAUAUGUAUAGGUGCUUGUAGAAUAUUGAUAGAUUGAUUGUAUAAAUUCAAGACUGCUUUCCGCUUUGGGUAUGCACGAUAGGUGGAGAGAUCCCCUGUGCAUCCAGUGCUGCAAUAAAGAAUAUACCACUUAAAGGAAUUUCGGCUUCAAUCUUUGAAUCACACCCCACAGAUAUUUAUAUACACUGAGGAGAUCCCCUCUAAGUCUUCUCUUCUCCAGGCUGAACAGACACAGGUCUCUCAGCCUUUCCUCAUAAGGAAGAUGCUCCAGGCCCUGUAUCAUCUUUGUGGCCCUCCGCUGGACUCUUUCCAGGAGAUUCCUGUCCUUCUUGUAC
rnacentral:lncRNA from 1 species